rnacentral:rRNA from 1 species
GGGGAAUCUUGGACAAUGGGGGCAACCCUGAUCCAGCGACGCCGCGUGGGUGACGAAGGCCUUCGGGUUGUAAAGCCCUUUUCUCGGGGAAGAUGAUGACGGUACCCGAGGAAUAAGCACCGGCUAACUCCGUGCCAGCAGCCGCGGUAAGACGGAGGGUGCUAGCGUUGUUCGGAAUUACUGGGCGUAAAGGGCGCGUAGGCGGCCUGAGAAGUCGGAUGUGAAAGCCCGGGGCUCAACCCCGGAACGGCAUUCGAAACUUUUGGGCUCGAGAACGGAAGAGGAGAGUGGAAUACCCAGUGUAGAGGUGAAAUUCGUAGAUAUUGGGUGGAACACCGGUGGCGAAAGCGGCUCUCUGGUCCGGAUCUGACGCUGAGGCGCGAAAGCGUGGGGAGCAAAC